rnacentral:lncRNA from 1 species
AGAUCCAAGGCAAGAUAAAAAGAACAGGCUUGAGGCCUAUGAGAGCACCCGUGGGCUUGAAGAAUUACCAAGACAUACAAAAAAAUAUCGACCUUUGGCCUGAAAAGAGACAAGUUCAGGGCCUUUUUAGCUAAGGCAGCAUUCAGCUCAAGAGAAGGCUAAAGAAAGGCAAUUGGCCUUUAGGGGAAUGGCAAACAGCAUGUGCCAUACAUGUGACUUGGCUUCGACACAUAUGCAGACCAUCACAUGCUUGAGAAAGAUCACCCGCAAAUGUAGGACAACCUUACACGUGACAUAAAGCGCGCAUGUGUGACAACCAGCUCCACACGCCUAGUGUGCACUAAACAUGAAUGUAAACAGCAGCCCAUGUCCCUAGCAUAUACCCAUAUGCUGUAAAGCCUAGCAUAUAAGCACACCAACGCGUAUAUGGAAUCAAGAUGAACAAUAGAUUUGUACGGCUUAAUAGACAAGUAGGCACACUUACAUGUGGAACCAACAGACCUACUCGCACGGCCAAACAGGCUGGGCGCAGGCCUACACCCAACACGCUUGU